AUCUAGCUUUUUUUUUGAAAACCGUCUGCGUGAGGGAUAGUAGUGGAAAGCCCACAGCCUGACGAAGGAAGAGCGAGGACUUGAAGCGGAUAGCCCGGCCGAAG
rnacentral:sRNA from 1 species